AGCGAACGCUGGCGGCAGGCCUAACACAUGCAAGUCGAACGGAUCCUUCGGGAUUAGUGGCGGACGGGUGAGUAACACGUGGGAACGUGCCCUUUGGUUCGGAACAACUCAGGGAAACUUGAGCUAAUACCGGAUGUGCCCUUCGGGGGAAAGAUUUAUCGCCAUUGGAGCGGCCCGCGUCUGAUUAGCUAGUUGGUGAGGUAAAAGCUCACCAAGGCGACGAUCAGUAGCUGGUCUGAGAGGAUGAUCAGCCACAUUGGGACUGAAACACGGCCCAAACUUCUACGGGAGGCAGCAGUGGGGAAUCUUGCGCAAUGGGCGAAAGCCUGACGCAGCCAUGCCGCGUGAAUGAUGAAGGUCUUAGGAUUGUAAAAUUCUUUCACCGGGGACGAUAAUGACGGUACCCGGAGAAGAAGCCCCGGCUAACUUCGUGCCAGCCGCCGCUGUAAAAC
rnacentral:rRNA from 1 species